GACUUAGGUGAAUCUAACCAAGACUCUCUCAGGAGCUGGGUGUUGAAUGAAGCUAACACGUGUGAAAAAAUCAUUUUAAUUAGUCUUUGAAUUCUUGGAGAGUGCAGUAAUAACAGGAAGAAACUCUCUCACCUUUAAGUCCUCAUCCAUGUUUGAAAUUCAUGUUGUGAAAGAAAAUCGGAUUCUUCAAAAAGCUUUGAAAUCAUGAACUGAUAAGUUUCUUGGACGGAGGCGAAAUCAAUAACAAAACUCACAUAUCCAUCUGUAUUUUGUGGAAUUUCUGCUGGUAUACCUGCUUUCUACAACUGAAGGAGAUAAUACAGCAGACACACCAAGUAGUAGAAACCGAGCAAAACAAAGAAAUUGAGAAAUGGAAAAGACUUUCACAGUUGAAGAAUCGUGAAUUGGACAAGUUCCGCGCAGAAUUAGACUCAAUAUUAGAUAUUCUUCGAGAGCUGCACCGGCAGGGAGUGGUUGUGCCAGUUGCUUUUGCAGAUGAAGUGAAUGCACCAGAAUAUUACUAGAAACCGGGAUUUCUUAGGAGCUCAGAAAGGUCCCACUGCUCAUAAACAAAGGAAUCUGAGUUUGAUCCAAAAUAAAAGUCCAUGUUCUUAACCAUACUAUGAUGCCACCACAUGGAGAUUUCUCUUUCAAUAUUUUCAAGUCCUUUGCCUAUUUUUAACUGAUAUGAUAAUCUUGCUUACUCACUUAUUAAUACUAUAGAUUGAAUACUUGUUUUCUCUUUGAUUUGUCAUGCCAUCUUUUUUCAUACUAAAUCCAGAGCACAUUGACUAGAUCUCUAAUUUGUCAAUAUUUUGAUAAUUACAGUUAGUUAGUACAGUUUAAUAUCAGCAAAGCCAGAUUGUCCUCUGCUUUUCUUCCCCCAAUACCUUCGGCUGUUUUCACCCAUUUAGGUGGAUUUGAAGUUUAUUUUGUUAAGUCUCAAAUCAUUUUCAAAUGGAAAUCGCAUUAGCUCUAGCAAUUAACUGGAGAACAAUGAGCAUACAUGUCUUCAAUGAGCCAACGGAUAUUGAUUGAAUUCCUACUAUGUGCCAGGCACUGCUCUCAGACCUUUCUCUCCAACAGUAAAAAACGCAGAUAAAAAUCCUAGCAAUCACAAACCUUAUGGUCUUGUUGGGAGAUACUGAAAAUAAACCAGUAAAUAGCUAAAAUGUCUGGUUUGUCAGGGGGUAAUGACUGUUAUGGGCAAGAGCUGGUAGUUGGGUGCAGCCUCUGAAACAUUGAUUGUCACUAUUUCAGGUCUCCUUUGGAUUCUUAUGAAAUGUACAGACAUUUGGACAUUAUAUUCUUAGAUGUUUUUAUUGCUAUUAAAAACAGUAUAUUAUGUUAUCAUAGUUAAUCUAAAAAUAGGCUCAUUUAUUUAAAUGCAUUUUGUUUCUGGAUAUCUUAUUGAUUCCUCUUAUCUAUCUGUGUUUCCAUUUAAUCUCCAAGGGUUCAAAUUAUUCUAACAUAUCAUCUGGAAGUAAUAUUUUUACUUCUCUCCCCUGAUGAGUAUAUUUCCUUUUAGAUUUCUCGUCUUCUGUUAUUGUCUAAAUUUUAGACUCUAAAAAAGGUUGCCAAAGGACCAAAUGCAGUCUUCAACCUGUUUUUUAAAAUGUUUUAUUGGAAUAUGGCCACACCCAUUUGUUUAAAAAUUAUAUGUCUGUUUAAUGCUACAUUUACAGAGUUGAAUAGUUGUGAUAUAGACCACAUGCCUGCAUAGACUUUGCCUGCCCCUUCUCUGAACUAUUAUCUAGAACUAACUUCAAAUACACACUAGAGGGGUGCCUGG